rnacentral:rRNA from 1 species
GAUGCAUUCUAGAGAUAGAAAGUUACUUCGGUACAUCGGUGACAGGUGGUGCAUGGUUGUCGUCAGCUCGUGUCGUGAGAUGUUGGGUUAAGUCCCGCAACGAGCGCAACCCCUAUUGUUAGUUGCCAUCAUUCAGUUGGGCACUCUAGCGAGACUGCCGGUAAUAAACCGGAGGAAGGUGGGGAUGACGUCAAAUCGUCAUGCCCCUUAUGACCUGGGCUACACACGUGCUACAAUGGUUGGUACAACGAGUUGCGAGUCGGUGACGACGAGCUAAUCUCUUAAAGCCAAUCUCAGUUCGGAUUGUAGGCUGCAACUCGCCUACAUGAAGUCGGAAUCGCUAGUAAUCGCGGAUCAGCACGCCGCGGUGAAUACGUUCCCGGGCCUU